AGAGAGAGACAUGCGUGCAUAUCAAUAAGCGGAGGAAAAGAAACUAACAAGGAUUCCCCUAGUAACGGCGAGUGAAGCGGGAAGAGCUCAAAUUUGAAAUCUUAAAGGGUUUCCCUUUACGAAUUGUAGUUUAAAGAAGUGUUUUCUGUUGAGGUUUUGGUAAAAGUUCUUUGGAAUAGGACAUCAUAGAGGGUGAGAAUCCCGUAUUUGACCUUUACUCUUCAACUUUGUGAUACACUUUCAAAGAGUCGGAUUGUUUGGGAAUGCAGUCCAAAAUGGGUGGUAAAUUUCAUCUAAAGCUAAAUAUUGGCGAGAGACCGAUAGCGAACAAGUACCGUGAGGGAAAGAUGAAAAGAACUUUGAAAAGAGAGUUAAACAGUACGUGAAAUUGUCAAAAGGGAAGCGUUUGACACCAUGUGUUGUUUUUCUGAAAAUCAAUUAAAGAACUGUUUAUGCUAAGUUGUUUAGACUUUAUCAGCUAACUGUUUAGUUUUGAGCUUUUCUUUAAUGCACUUUUCAGUUAACAAGUCAACAUCAAUUUCUUUUGCUGUAAAAAAGCUUGAGGAAGGUGGCUUGAGAUUCGUCUUAAGUGUUUAUAGCCUCUUGCCUAUGCAGUCGGAGAGAUUGAGGUCUGCAGCGUAGAUCCUUCGGGGCUAAAUGCAUUUGUGCUAAGUUAUAGCAUUUUAUAGACAACUUGUUGACUAUGAUUUGUCUUGUAGCUUACUCGCUUAUGUUAUUUUACCUACGCUUAGGAUGUUGAGCGCAUGUCUCUCUCU
rnacentral:rRNA from 1 species